AUUCAAUAGAAAAUAUACAAAAGAAAUUACAACAGUAAAAGAAGCAGUAAAAGUGAUUUGCAAAGGUAUAAGAAGAAGCAGCAAAAAGAAAAGUAGGAAGUAUAUACAUAUGUAUACAUGCAUGCAAAGGUGGUGUAGCGAUUUUAAGGAAGUGGAAUUUACGCUUGCGGCACGUAAGUUUCAAACAUUGUCAUUUCGAACUAUUCUUUUAUACCACAUGGGCUAACCAAUUCGGUGAGUCUCUUUGUUAUGAAUGUAUGUAAAAAUGACAACUAAGAUGCAGAACUAUGCAUUUGGCGUUUUCGAAAAUAAACGUAAAUAAAGUGCA